UGGCUCAGGACGAACGCUGGCGGCGUGCCUAACACAUGCAAGUCGAGCGGGGACAUUGCGACGGAGACGAAGUACUCGUACGGAGUCAAAGAUGUAAUGUUCUAGCGGCGGACGGGUGAGUAACGCGUGAGCAACCUGUCCCUUACAGGGGGAUAACACAGCGAAAGUUGUGCUAAUACCGCAUAAGACCACAGAGUGACAUCGCUCAGGGGUCAAAGGAGCAAUCCGGUAAGGGGUGGGCUCGCGUCCGAUUAGAUAGUUGGUGAGGUAACGGCCCACCAAGUCGACGAUCGGUAGCCGACCUGAGAGGGUGAUCGGCCACAUUGGGACUGAGACACGGCCCAAACUCCUACGGGAGGCAGCAGUGGGGAAUAUUGGGCAAAUGGGGGAAACCCUGACCCAGCAACGCCGCGUGAGGGAAGAAGGUUUUCGGAUCGUAAACCUCUGUCCCAGGUGAAGAGGAAGAGACGGUAGCCUGGGAGGAAGCCCCGGCUAACUACGUGCCAGCCGCCGC
rnacentral:rRNA from 1 species